rnacentral:tRNA from 3 species
GGAGGGAUGGCAGAGCGGUUGAAUGCACCGGUCUUGAAAACCGACGUAGGUGAAUAACCUACCCAGGGUUCGAAUCCCUGUCCCUCCGCCA